rnacentral:rRNA from 1 species
ACGGAAGGCAGCAGUGGGGAAUAUUGGGCAAUGGGCGAAAGCCUGACCCAGCAACGCCGCGUGAAGGAAGAAGGUUUUCGGAUUGUAAACUUCUUUUAUCAGGGACGAAGAAAGUGACGGUACCUGAUGAAUAAGCCACGGCUAACUACGUGCCAGCAGCCGCGGUAAUACGUAGGUGGCGAGCGUUAUCCGGAUUUACUGGGUGUAAAGGGUGUGUAGGCGGACUGACAAGUCAGGUGUGAAAUCCAUCGGCUCAACCGAUGAACUGCACUUGAAACUGCCAGCCUUGAGGGUCGGAGAGGCAAGCGGAAUUCCCAGUGUAGCGGUGAAAUGCGUAGAUAUUGGGAGGAACACCAGUGGCGAAGGCAGCUUGCUGGACGACAACUGACGCUGAGACACGAAAGCGUGGGGAGCAAACAGGAUUAGAUACCCUGGUA